rnacentral:rRNA from 1 species
AAGGGCACCACAAGAACGCGUGGAGCAUGUGUGUUAAUUUGACUCAACGCGGGAAAUCUUACCGGGUCCGGACACACUGAGGAUUGACAGGUGGUUUAUAUAUCACACUCGCUGUGAUAUAUAUAUAAAUAUGCUAGUUCUUUCAUGAUUAUGUGAUAGGUGGUGCAUGGCCGUUCUUAGUUCGUGGAGUGAUCUGUCUGCUUAAUUGCGUAUCACUAAACGUGUAAUUAUACAUAUGUUAAAUAUGAUAGUGUCUAAUAUACUUUAUGUAUAUAUGACCUCAUAUUUUUACAUAUUAUACACGUUGAUAGCAACGAACGUGACCGUAACCUCUUGUUGCCUGGCUCGAAGACUCGUCUCAGUAUAUAUAUAACUAUAUUUAUACUGUGGAGACCAGAUGCAAACUAGAGGGACCGCUGUAUUCUUUCUUAAACCAGGGGAAGGUUACGGCAAUAACAGGUCUGUGAUGCCCUUAGAUGUUCCGGGCCGCACACGUGCUACAAUGAUUAUUGCAGUGAGCAUCUCGAAUAGACAAAUUCAUCACACACAUAUUAAUGCAUUCAUUAUGUAUUAGUGUUGUGUGUGUGAAUACUGCCUGCUUCGAAAGUUCGCGGGUAAUCAAUUAACAACAAUGAUUUCCAAAACAUAUAUAGCACACAUAUAUGUGAUUAUGCUAUCCACAUAGUCCCUAGUGUCUGUGUCGUGCAUAGCAUAAUUUUUCACAUGUGCAAUUGUCAAUUCAUGGUGGGGACAGACUAUUGUUAAUUAUUAGUCUCGGUCUUAACUAGGAAUGCCUUGUACUGGUUUAGUUCAUCAGACUACCGGGAAUACGUCCCUGCCCUUUGUACACACCGCCCGUCGCUCUUACCGAUGAACUAUACUGUGAGUAUAUUGGACUGUGUUUCUCGCGGAAAAAUACACGAACAGUGUGGUUUAAAGGAAAGAGAAGUCGAACAAGGC